UUGACGGCAAGGGUAACUUUUAGUUCGCCGCACGGGAAACUGGCUUGUGGCGGACGAGAGUUCCUAGCUGUCUGUCAGUUUGCGUUCGAUGUCGGCUCUCCCUGAUAUUUUGCCGCAAUUCUUGGGGUUUUGCACUGUUCACUCACUGAAAUGAAACGUGAGUUGGGUUUAGACCGCCGUGAUACAUGUUAAGUUGACCCUAUCAAUGAGUUCAUUGACUCAAAUUGGCACGACCUGGUCGUUGGUAUGGAAGUCCUUUUGAGCAGGCGAGGAGUCUCAGGUUUCGACAUUUAGUGUAUGUGUCUGGCCUGAAGACUAGUGGUGCAAGGCUACUAUAUGAAGGAUUAGGGCUGAACGCCUCAAGGUCUGAAUGUCGUACUGAUAUGCCACCGUACACUGU
rnacentral:ncRNA from 1 species